rnacentral:rRNA from 1 species
UACAGAGGUCUCAAGCGUUGUUCGGAUUCAUUGGGCGUAAAGGGUGCGUAGGCGGCGCGGUAAGUCGGGUGUGAAAUCUCGGAGCUUAACUCCGAAACUGCAUUCGAUACUGCCGUGCUUGAGGACUGGAGAGGAGACUGGAAUUUACGGUGUAGCGGUGAAAUGCGUAGAGAUCGGGAGGAACAUCAGUGGCGAAGGCGGCCAUCUGGGACAACACUGACGCUGAAGCACGAAAGCGUGGGGAGCAAACAGG